GGCUCUUCCUCAGGCCAGUGUGAAGUCUUAAGUACAAAGGUGCUUGCCGCUAAGCCUGAAGACCUGAGUUCUGUUCCUGGAGCUCACACGGUGUAAGGAGAGAACCAAGUCCCACUAGCUGUGCUCUGACCUCCACAUAUGCACAACGCCUCCCCUCCACAGUAAAAUUUUAAAUGGAAUACGAAAAGAAAGAAAUAAGCAGACAAAGGCUCUUACCUCCUUCUCCAGAAUGUCCUGCAUGUGUGAGGGUGCCUGUGGACAACGUGUGAACAUUCGCUGUUCAUCAGCACUUACAUUUGCUCAAGUCUUUGCUGAGCUGUCUCCCCACCAUUCAGCCUCCAGCCUCCUGCCCUGACAGCCAGGCCUGCUUAGUGCCUCCGUCCUUCAAGCCUCAGCCUCUCUCUGCUUGACAAAUGCUGUAUCCCAGUUCCCUCCCAGUUAGAAGACUCCUGCCAGGAAGAAUUGGGGUAGACUGUGGCCCAGGGCUCAGGAGACUCAGGAAGAAAACAAACCAUGAUCUGGGAAAUUUACAAGGCUCACUGGGUCCCUCCCCAAGGAAGCAGCAAACAACUGCUGGGAGAGGCCACUGACCAGCCAUGAUGCUGCCUAGCAACCACUUCAAGGAGACUGCCACCUGUCUAGCGGCCUGCAAAUGGUACAGGGGCUUCAGGGUUGCACUUUCAUGAGUUGUCACUUGUGUUACAGAGGGCUUUUUGGUGAGUUACCCCUGCUCUGUGUAAGUCAGUCCUCACCAAAGGUAGGGUCAGAAAUAACUGCA
ensembl:antisense Gm15392 predicted gene 15392